rnacentral:lncRNA from 1 species
UGCAUCCUGUCCCUUGUAGGCGACCUGUUUAGUACAAAGAGCCAAGUUAAGAAAUUGUGACGCGGAAUACCAAAAGGAGACCAGACAAUGGAGCCCCAAUCAACUUCUUCUAGCUCUCCCUUGAGUGCAGUAUACAUUUCGCCAGUACUGUAAACAUUGGUGAGCCUUCCAUUUAGUUCCCAUUCGAAAUAGUCUUGAUCCUCAGUUAGCGUUACCGUUGUUAAGAAAGCCUGAAGGUGAAGUUGAUUGUCUGAUCUCGCAGGUGGGAUUCUCCAGACCCCAUUGUUACAGAGAG